rnacentral:tRNA from 1 species
ACCGCGAUAGCUCAGCUGGUGGAGCAUGUGCCCGGUAUGCGGCGGGUUGCCGGUUCAAUUCCGGCUCACGGUA